CCUACGGGAGGCAGCAGUGAGGAAUAUUGGUCAAUGGGCGCGAGCCUGAACCAGCCAAGUAGCGUGAAGGAUGACUGCCCUACGUGUUGUAAACUUCUUUUAUAAAGGAGUAAAGUGAGGCUCGUGUGCCUUUUUGUAUGUACUUUAUGAAUAAGGAGCGGCUAACUCCGUGCCCGCAGCCGCGGUAAUACGGAGGACCCGAGCGUUAUCCGGAUUUAUUGGGUUUAAAGGGAGCGUAGAUGGGUCGUUAAGUCAGUUGUGAAAGUCUGCGGCUUAACCGUAAAAUUGCAAUGGAUACUGGCAGCCUUGAGUACAGUUGAGGUAGGCGGAAUUCGUGGUGUAGCGGUGAAAUGCUUAGAUAUCACGAAGAACUCCGAUUGCGAAGGCAGCCUACUAAACUGCCACUGACAUUGAUGCUCGAAAGUGUGGGUAUCAAACAGGAUUAGAUACCCUAGUAGUC
rnacentral:rRNA from 1 species